CAAUAACAACUGCUUAUGCUAUUUGGUAUGUUGUUGGAAAUUGUCCAAUAGUGAAGUGCGGUUUAACAGUCAACCGCUUUACAGUAUGGUGAUAAGUAUAGUUAGCAUUUAGACAACAUAUUUUGUACUUGCUUUAUCCUAAGUUUAGAUUAAUCAUGUGGAUACAUUAUAACGAAACAGUGAAUAUAUUGUUUUAUGAUUUUAAAAUAGUUCAUCAGACCAAAUAGAAAAGAUGUCAAAGAAUACAGCCAAUGGCCUUGUGUCAUGUUGUUGACCAGGAGGUGAUACAGGAGUCGAAGUGUAUGGUGGGAUUGGAGGAGGGGGGGGAGGAGUUUACAAUUGCAGUUAAAACACUGCAGGUCCCUUUCCAAGUGCCUAUUUCAAAGGAAAUGGAAGGUGGGCCUGAAAGUUAUUUAAACAAAGAACAAGAGAUAACAGGUGAUAGGCACAACCAGUUAAAAGAAGACAGUGAGACAUAUAGUGUAGAUUAUCCUAU
rnacentral:lncRNA from 1 species